GGCCGGGUUCUGCGGAUGGAAAGACCUGUGAACCCCGUCAGGGCCGGAAGGCAGCAGCGGUAAGCAGGGAAUCCAUAGCGCAGUCAACCUGGCCUUU
rnacentral:SRP_RNA from 1 species